UCCCUGGUAGAUCCUACAGUAGUAGCACAUGCCAGUCUCAAAAGUUAAUCCACAGUAUUGUUGUGAAUGGCUGGAUGAGGAUUCAGCUCCUAUAUAGAUAACUGGUUAUUGUAGAACUGAUCCACACCUGUGGCUUCAGUGACUCUGGUGAUUCUAGGUAACAGAGAUCAAUCACAUUUUCUCCCCACCCCCGCCAUGGCCCUGUCACUCUUAGGUGGCAGUUUUAGUGCCUACUGAGGCGACCACUGUGACCAAGAAUCUUAAUAAUAGGGAAUCUCAAUUUGGUUCUGCAGAGAGAGAGCCUGAUAAAUUAAUACGCUAUCUAAAGAAUGCAGCAGGCACAAAUUACCCACUCCCAACCCUGGAGGAUAGUGAUUAAAACAACAUAGAACUCUUUCAAGGCCCUGUAGUUGGAAAGAGUCCAGUUUAAAUCCUUUAAAGAGGAUCUAUUGCAGGGCAAGCCUGGUGCUGGCAGCCACGGUAAUCCCACUUUCAAUGUGGUGUGCUGAAUUCCUGGCAGUUAAAAUGCUUGUUUUUGGAUCUUACGUGCUGCCGGGGUCCAUUGCAAGAAAGUCCAUGCCUCUUGUCUUUUGGUACCUUACGGGCUCCUCUUCCCUGAGUUUCCCUGGAGCUGAAGUGUGCACUUUGAAGAAAAUUAGUGUUCAAAGUAGCGUGGGCUGCCUGGAUACUGCUGGUGGGAAUCGUGGAAUGGGAGCGUGGUUCUAUUUUGUUUGUGUUGGAACUUUGAGGAAGCUUAUUAAGCAGGGCAGUUGGGGCAUUAGUAUUGCACCGCUAGGACUCAAAUUCUGGGCCAGUAAUAAGACUGAUCAGAGUGAAAGCUUUUGCCAAGGAUGUUUUCAUUAACCAAGAAUGAAGGUGAAAGUGGGAAGUUUAAAGAUGUUCAGGUCCUGUAUAGUUACGAACAUAAAUGUGAUGUUGACCACUGCAUUAAUGUCCAUGACCCACUAGCAGCUUCCAGGAAACCAGAGCCCUUUGGGUUGUGGUAGGGGGAAGGUCUGUGUUCAUAGCUGAAACUGAAAGGCAACAGCAGUAGAGACAGCUUAACUUGAACAUGAGCAACCUUACCCACUUCCAGCACAGACAGGAUUGUCCCAUUGAUAGUUAUUCUGUGUGUUGGGGGUGCAUGGCUUUUCUACUUGAUGAAGAGAUUUGACUGGUAGUUAAUCAAUAACCAGGGAGACUAGCGUGCUAACCAGUUAGGUGAGCAUUCGGCAUCCCCCAAUUUAGACAAAUGGCAUUCAGCCAUCUGAGAUUGAGCAGUUAGGCUCUGGAUCGCCCAACUGGUUAGCACACAGAUAGAUCUCUCCACCAGCCUAGAAAAGGCAUGCACCCCCACCCACAGAAGAGUAGCCACAGGCCUGUGAUGCUCUUCAAUGCCUGUAACCAUGCACCACACUGCUCUCGGCAUGUGCUCACUUGAAUCCGAUGGAUGCCAGAGACCCGUUAAGUCCAUUAGUGAUGGGGAUCGGGAUUGUAGUAAGUCGUCGUUAAGGAAGAAUUCCCCGUGAGAGAUUAGGCCAAAAGUGUGCAUUAAGUUUCUGCCCAUUCUCCCUCCGAUAGGCCACUA
rnacentral:rRNA from 1 species